CGCCGCCGUCGACAGGGGCCGCGCCGCCGACCCCGCCGCCGCCUACACCGUCGCCCAGUACAACUCCCCCUUCGAGUUCACCGGCCGGGUCAACGAGAUCUGGAUGUUCCUCGUCCUCCCGGAGGGCAUAAAGUCCAGCCAGUAGACCACUAGAGAGAGAAAGUAGAGAGAGGUGAUAAAGCAGCCUUUUGACUACGGCAUAUUUACGCUUCAGACCUCCGAAUAAACCCAGUUCCACGUGUAAAGCGUUUUGGCUCGAUGAUGUAUUUUUAAUUAAAGUCCCUGAAUAAUCGAUAAUAACCCCAACCCAAAAAGAGUCUGAUCAUAGAAGCAGGCGUGGGAAAAACCAACCGUUACGAGCGACCGCCCGGCGACCGUUUCUGUACGUUUCUCUUCUUCUUCUCCUCCAUCCUCAAGCUCGCACCAGACCAGUCUGUCUCUCUGUCUCUCUCUGUCUCUCUGUCUCUCUGUCUCUCUGUCUCUCUUUCUCUCUUUCUCUCUCUAUCUCUCAGUAGGGAGAGGGAGA
rnacentral:lncRNA from 1 species